rnacentral:rRNA from 1 species
AGCGAACGCUGGCGGCAGGCUUAACACAUGCAAGUCGAGCGGGCACUUUCGGGUGUCAGCGGCGGACGGGUGAGUAACGCGUGGGAACGUGCCCUCUGGUUCGGAAUAACUCAGGGAAACUUGAGCUAAUACCGGAUACGCCCUUUUGGGGAAAGGCUUGCUGCCGGAGGAUCUGCUCGCGUCUGAUUAGCUAGUUGGUGAGGUAACGGCUCACCAAGGCGACGAUCAGUAGCUGGUCUGAGAGGAUGAUCCGCCACACUGGGACUGAGACGCGGCACAGACUCCUACGGGAGGCAGCAGUGGGGAAUAUUGGACAAUGGGGGCAAGCCUGAUCCAGCCAUGCCGCGUGAGUGAUGAAGGCCUUAGGGUUGUAAAGCUCUUUUAUCCGGGACGAUAAUGACGGUACCGGAGGAAUAAGCCCCGGCUAACUUCGUG